UACAGAGGUCUCAAGCGUUGUUCGGAUUCAUUGGGCGUAAAGGGUGCGUAGGCGGCGCGGUAAGUCGGGUGUGAAAUUUCGGAGCUUAACUCCGAAACUGCAUUCGAUACUGCGGUGCUUGAGGACUGGAGAGGAGACUGGAAAUUUACGGUGUAGCGGUGAAAUGCGUAGAUAUCGUAAGGAAGACCAGUGGCGAAGGCGGGUCUCUGGGCCGAUACUGACGCUGGAGGAGCGAAAGCGUGGGGAGCGAACAGG
rnacentral:rRNA from 1 species